rnacentral:piRNA from 1 species
UUCUCAGUACUUCAUCUUUGUGCUUGUGUGC